CCCUCUCUCUCUUUCUCUCUCUCUCUCUCUCUCUCUCUCAUUGUCAUAUCUUGCAGCUCCAUCAAAUAGUUCCCCAGUUUCCACAUCAAACCCAUAAUCAGCACGCCUCUAAAUCGGCCCCCACACAUCUCUCCCCUUCAAAGAGUCUUUCUACAUCAAAUAAACCCUUGUUUCUCUCUCUCUCUCUCUCUCUCUCUCUCUCGGCGGUCUGGAAAGAAAAAGGAAAAAAAAAAUGCCCAUAAACCACUUCUCCUCAGACCUUCCAGAAACACACUGGUGGACUCAACAGCAACAGCCCUCUGUUAUGGAUAAUAAUACUCCUUCUUCCAAACCCCAUUACCUUCCUCCUCAUCAUCCAUUAUACCACAGUAAUAUUAACAAUCCUUCCCAACAACACUACUACCAAUCUUCUAAUUGGCACAACUCCAAUAAUCCCCAACACUCUACCUCCAUCCCCAUGUACCAUACGCCAAACAACAACCUUAAUUUCAAUCUUAACAACCAACUAGACUACAAUGAUGAAGACGUUGACGACCAAAUUGCCGACAGUGCCACCGAAUUAAACAACAACCAAAACCAAGACCAAUACCAACAAGACCACCUUGAGAAGGAACCCAUGUUCGAGAAGCCUCUGACUCCGAGUGACGUGGGCAAACUCAACCGCCUCGUAAUCCCAAAACAACACGCCGAGAAGUACUUCCCACUCGGUGGUGGUGGUGGUGGAGACUCGGUCGACAAGGGUUUGUUACUGAGUUUCGAGGACGAGUUGGGCAAGUUCUGGAGGUUUCGCUACUCGUAUUGGAAUAGCAGCCAGAGCUACGUGUUGACCAAAGGGUGGAGCCGUUAUGUGAAAGAAAAACGGCUGGAUGCUGGCGACGUCGUUUUGUUCGAGAGGCACCGGACCGACAGUGAGCGCUUGUUUAUAGGAUGGAGGCGGCGAACGGUGCCUGAUAGCGGCGGGACGGUGGCUCAGGUUAAUGGUGGGGAAAGUGCUGGUGGGUGGACCAGGAUGCUCUAUUCUGCGCAUCCUUAUCCUACGCAUCCUCAUCAUCACCAUCACGCUGUGCCAUACCAACCUGACUGUCUUCAUGCAGGAUCUCCUGCUCAAAACCAAACGACGCCGGUUGGGAACUCAAGGAUUUUGAGGCUUUUUGGGGUUAACAUGGAAUGCCAACCUGAUGAUUCCGAACCGUCCACGCCAGAUGGCUCGUCUUUGUCAACCCACGGUCCAUCCCACCAACAAUUCUAUCCUCCUUACCAUUCAGAUCACAUGAUUAUAAGCAAACGUUGAAUAAGGCAAAGAGUAGGCAAUUAGGGGAAAAUAAUUAUUUUUAGUCUUUGGAAAUAUCAUGGUCUCCUUUCUUCCCAACAAUGCGGGUACAUCAAAUUCUGGAUUUCACUUUCUCCCAAGAUGUCAAACCCAUGAGAAAUCGUCAAGGAUAAAGAUCUGUGGAUGUGACGUCCUUGGAUUGACUAUUAUGUAGCCCACUCGGAGGAAAGUUGGAAAAUCUCCACAAAAAAAAAAAAAGAAAAAAAAAAAAGAAAAAGCAUAAAUAUAAGUAUAUAAAAUAUAUUUUAUAUAUGGAAGAAAAAUCGAAAAGAAAAAAUAGUGGGUAAAGAGACAGAGAAAAAAUCCCAGAUUUUGAGGCCUACUUUGGAGAGCCAGAGGAGAAGUAAGGGCUUAGGAAGGGAACCAAAAGGAAGGUGGAGUGGUAGAGGGGGGAAAAGGACUGCAGGAGAGCAGAUUAGUGAGGGAGAAAAAGAAGUCGUCCAAAUUAUUGAAAAAAAAAAAAAAAAAAGAGGAAGUGGGUCCCAGAUGGAGAAGCUAGGGCUGACGUUCAUCAAUCCGUGCUUAAGGGGGAAUUUGGGGGUCGUUGAAAAUUGAGGGAAUGAGGAAUCUAUUUGCAAACUGUUGAGAUUCUCCCUGGAGAUUUUUGCACACAAUGGCACAUCAUAAUAAUGGAAGAGGGUAUGGUGGUGGUGGUGAUGGUGGGUGGAUGGGUGGGUGGGUUUGUGUGUGGAUUGGUGGAAUGGGUGGACUUGAAUAGAUGGGUGACAGCCGGGUCUCGUACUUAGCCCACUCCCCCCCCCCCCCCCCCCCCCCCUUCUCUCUCUCUCUCUUCUCUUUGUAUUUAUUCUUUUCUUCCCCCAUACUCUUGUAGUAGCUCCAUACUGUCUCUCCUUGUUGCAUUUUGCUGCAGUAAAAUGAGAAGCUGAAAAACAAAAAAAAAAAAGAAAAAAAAGAAUUAAGAGUAUUUGUUGGCUGGUACUUCCUUUACCUAUGAAUCAUUGAGUCCAAGAGAAAAAAGAGCUAACAAUUUUGCGGAUUUGGCAUUCACUCGUGUCAUCUGAUGAAUUGUGAAGUGUACCAAUCAUGCUUGCUAAUUUGGUAAACUUCAAUGUCAGAAAGAAGGGAAAAAAAUCAAAUACGUGGUUCAAAUGCAAUUAAUUAGAAUUUUGCUGAGAUAUUAUGAAUCGUGUUAUUUGAGAUAUACCCACUUUUUCAAGAUUGGUAUACCAGAUGUCAGUCAUAAUAAUGGUCCCCUAGGAAAUUGGAUUUUCAUUUAUUAUUUAUUAUUUAUUAUGAUUUUUUCUAUAUUCA